rnacentral:lncRNA from 1 species
CAGAACAACCCCCCUCCUCUCUACCCUCCUCCCUUGGUCUGGUCUAUCCAUCCUCUACUCUACUCCAUUGGUGUGGUCUGUCAAUCCUCUCUACUCUACUCCCCCAGGUCUGGUCUGUCAAUCCUCUACUCUCUACUCUCAUUGGUCUGGUCUGUCAAUCUCUCUACUCUACUCCAUUGGUCCUGGUCUGUCAAUUCUCUCUACUCUACUCCAUUGGUCUGGUCUGUCAAUUCUCUCUACUCUACUCCCCUGGUCUGGUCUG